rnacentral:misc_RNA from 1 species
AAAAAAAGCUUAACGCUUUCCAUUCUUAUUAAGGUAGAAGGGUCGUCUUCUUCAAAACUCCAUACAUACAAAUUCUGACCUCCCUUCUCCCCUACUCUACACUUCGAAUCCACACUUCAAAACGCAAUACCUGCUCUUAUGAAGGAAAGCUUCUAAGCUUCCAGAUCCUCCUAGCCAUUCCAGGCUAAGGAGAUGAGAGGUUGUUUUUAAAAGGGGCUUUUGAGAACAGAUCCAAUGA